GAUGAAGAACGUAGCGAAAUGUGAUACUUGGUGUGAAUUGCAGAAUCCCGCGAAUCAUCGAGUUUUUGAACGCAAGUUGCGCCCGAAGCCAUUCGGCCGAGGGCACGUCUGCCUGGGUGUCACGCAUCGUUGCCCCCCCAAACUCCGGUUCGGGCGGGGCGGAAGUUGGCCUCCCGUGCGUGCCUGCGCGCGCGGUUAGCCCAAAAGCGAGUCCUCGGCGACGAGCGCCACGACAAUCGGUGGUUUUUUUACCCUCGUUCCUCGUCGUGCGUGUCCCGUCGCCCGAACGCGCUCUUGUGACCCUCACGCGUCGCCUCGGCGGCGCUCCCAACGCGACCCCAGGUCAGGCGGGACUACCCGCUGAGUUUAAGCAUAUCAAUAAGCGGAGGA
rnacentral:misc_RNA from 1 species